CCCUUAGAUGUCCUGGGCCGCACGCGCGUUACACUGAUGCAUUCAACGAGCAUAUAACCUUGGCCGAGAGGCCUGGGUAAUCUUGUUAACAUGCAUCGUGAUAGGGAUAGAUUAUUGCAAUUAUUAAUCCUGAACGAGGAAUUCCUAGUAAUCGCAGUUCAUCAAACUGCAAUGAUUACGUCCCUGCCCUUUGUACACACCGCCCGUCGCACCUACCGAUUGAAUGGUCCGGUGAGGACUCGGGAUUGUGGUUUAGCUCCUUCAUUGGGGCCUGACUGCGAGAACUUGUCCGAACCUUAUCAUUUAGAGGAAGGUGAAGUCGUAACA
rnacentral:rRNA from 1 species